AUUCCUCCUUGUUACAAAUAAUAUUACCAUUCAGACAAUGUAUAGCUCAAAAUUGGGUUUGUAUGUAGGUUGUCUUUUAUUUUUACAGGCUCUCUGGAAACUUCGGUGGCAAGGGCAUCAACUCCUCCACAAACUCACAGUCCAACACUUCCCAGCAAUGAUGUCCUGAGUCAAACAUUCCAGAGCCAAGGACCGCCCCAAAUUUAUAAAUCCUCUCUGGGUUGUUGGGAAGAUUCUGACUCUGACCACUUCUGGUCAGAUCCUCAGACAGGAUGAGAUCUGGGUAUAAAGUGUUUGGAUCCAGAACCACAUGAUCUCCAGAGAGACAGAGAGGACGUGGCAGAGUCAUGGGGAGCCAGAGGAGGUGUGUGGUCCUCUGAUAGACGCGUCUAAACACCUGACCAACCUCCUCUACACCGUCUGGAAUGACAUGCUGUAGAUAGCCCCUUACAAGGUCUGAUAGUAGGAGAGAAAGAGAGAGAAAGAGAGAAAUGGGGGAUCGACAUACCUGUUACCUGGACUCCAGACAAUGCAAGUACCUGUCAGGUAGGUCUGUCACCUGUAUGUUGAUUUUAUGGUUAUCACUGUUUAAUGCAUUUGAAAUUACAACACACUUUACCUCUCUUCCUCAUGCUCUCCCCUCUCUCCCCUCUCACCUCUCCUCCCUCUCUCCCGACCCCUCUCUCCCCUUCUUACUUUCUAGCUUCCCCUCUCUCUCUCUCUCUCCUCCCUCUCAUUUAGCAGACUCUUAUCAAGAUAGACUUGCAGUCAGUGCAUUCAACUAAGCUAGAUAAAACACCCACAGAUCAUUGCAUGUGAAGACUUUCCUCAAUAAAGCAGCUAUCAGCAGAACCAGUGCUACUAAUGUGUUGGACACCCC
rnacentral:lncRNA from 1 species